UUUGCACGAAAAUCAAAGCGAACGAAAACGUAAGCGUUUCAGUGUAAUUUUGCGUUCCACUAUCUUUUUUCUUUCGUACGCAUGCGAACACAAACGUCAAAAUCAGUCACUUGUGUGUUUGCUGUCGAAUGAUAAAGAUUAAGGAAAAUUGUUUUAACAUAAACAUUCCUUGAUUGAAAAUGGAAAGAAAAAUCACGAAAAAACUACACAGCUGCGGGCACUAGUUGAGUAUAUGGGGGAGAAUCCUAAGUUCGCCAGAGGAGUGUCAAUUUUUGGAAGCAGCAGGCAAUCCCUUGAAGACCACUGAAAGACACAAACCUAGAAAAAAUCAUUUUUUUAUUAUUUCAAAAAUGUAAAAAUACAAUCAUACUUACUGGUUGUUAGGUACUUCAAAUAAAUUCGAAGCAUCUCUUAAA
rnacentral:sRNA from 1 species